UCUGUGUGGUACCUGUAAAGCUGGCAUUUGCUUUUCAAUGGCAAAAAAGUCUGAAUAUACAAUGAAGAACACAAGUGAGGGGAGAAGUCUCUAUUCACCUAUUAUCCAAACUAAAUAUAAUGUGAAAAGAAACGUCAGCCCAAGGCCCCGUCUGACGGUCCGAAGAAGAUAUAUCCUGCCAGAGAUAGGAGGCAGGGGCGAAGAGUCUACCCCCGGGAAGGACGGGACUCAACUGGUGGUGGUGGGGUGGUGGAGGUUGCCGUGUUAGCACACUGAAACAGCAAUGUGAUAGAUUGUGACGGGAAGUUUACUCUGAAUUGCUGUCCAGCUAUGGAACACGAGGACCAUUGCGUUUCAGACCACACAUGGAAAAUCAACCCCCC